AACGAACGCUGGCGGCAGGCCUAACACAUGCAAGUCGAGCGGACCCUCCGGGGUUAGCGGCGGACGGGUGAGUAACGCGUGGGAAUAUGCCCUUCUCUACGGAAUAGUCCUGGGAAACUGGGGGUAAUACCGUAUACGCCCUUUGGGGGAAAGAUUUAUUGGGGAAGGAUUAGCCCGCGUUGGAUUAGGUAGUUGGUGGGGUAAUGGCCUACCAAGCCGACGAUCCAUAGCUGGUUUGAGAGGAUGAUCAGCCACACUGGGACUGAGACACGGCCCAGACUCCUACGGAAGGCAGCAGUGGGUGAUCUUAGACAGUGGGGGCAGCCCUGAUCGAGCCAUGCCGCGUGAGUGAUGAAGGCCUUAGGGUUGUAAAGCUCUUUCAGCUGGGAAGAUAAUGACGGUACCAGCAGAAGAAGCCCCGGCUAACUCCGUG
rnacentral:rRNA from 1 species